rnacentral:rRNA from 1 species
UACAGAGGUCCCGAGCGUUGUUCGGAUUCACUGGGCGUAAAGGGUGCGUAGGCGGUCGGGUAAGUCUGAUGUGAAGUCUCGGAGCUUAACUCCGAAACUGCAUUCGAUACUGCCGUGCUUGAGGACUGGAGAGGAGACUGGAAUUUACGGUGUAGCGGUGAAAUGCGUAGAUAUCGUAAGGAAGACCAGUGGCGAAGGCGGGUCUCUGGACAGUUCCUGACGCUGAGGCACGAAGUCCAGGGGAGCAAACGGG